CUGCUGGUCCAUGGAACAAGUUGCCACCACAAACAGAGCACUGUAUGCAUGGGACAGGAUGCCUUCAUGGAGCCCUUCAGCAGCACUGCCAGGGUCUUUCAGUGCAAAAUAUACCUCCUUCUCUUAGGUGCUUGCUCUGGGCUGAAGGUAGCAGUGCCGUCACACACCGUCCAUGGCAUCAGGGGCCAAGCCCUCUACCUCCCUGUGCACUAUGGAUUCCAUACUCUGGCAUCAGACAUACAGAUCAUAUGGCUGUUUGAGAGACCCCACACAAUGCCCAAAUACUUACUGGGCUCCGUGAACAAGUCUGUGGUUCCCGACUUGGAAUACCGACACAAAUUCACCAUGAUGCCACCCAAUGCGUCUCUGCUGAUCAACCCACUGCAGUUCACUGAUGAAGGCAAUUACAUCGUGAAGGUCAACAUUCAGGGAAAUGGAACUCUAUCUGCUAGUCAGAAGAUACAAGUCACUGUUGAUGAUCUUGUCACAAACCCGAUGGUGCGGACUCAGCCUUCCUCUGGGGCUGUGGAAUAUGUCGGGAACCUGACCCUGACAUGCCUCGUGGAAGGCGGCACCCGGCUGGUUUACCAGUGGCUAAAAAAUGGGAAGUAUAUCCACGCCGGCCCCACCUAUACCUUUUCACCCCAAAACAACACCCUUCAUAUUGCUCCAGUGACCAAGGAAGACAUUGGGAAUUACAGCUGCUUGGUGAAGAACCCUGUCAGUGAGAUGGAAAGCGGCAUCAUUAUGCCUACCAUAUAUUAUGGACCUUAUGGACUUCACGUUAAUUCUGAUAAAGGGCUAAAAGUAGGGGGAGUGUUUACUGUUGACAUUGGAGAAGCCAUCUUGUUUGAUUGUUCUGCUGACUCUUAUCCCCCCAACACCUACUCCUGGAUCCAGAAGACUGACAAUACAACCUAUGUCAUUAAGCACGGGCCUCACUUGGAAGUAGCAUCUGAGAAAGUAGCCCAGAAGACAACUGAUUACGUGUGCUGUGCUUACAACAACGUAACUGGAAGGCGAGAUGAAACUCACUUCACAGUCAUCAUCACUUCUGUAGGACUGGACAAGCUUGCACAAAAAGGGAAAUCGUUGUCCCCUUUGGCAAGUAUAACUGCAGUAUCACUCUUUUUAAUUAUAUCCAUGUGUCUUCUCUUCCUAUGGAAAAAAUAUCUAUCCUGCAAAGUUAUAAAACAGAAGCUAAAAGGCAGGCCAGAAACAGAAUACAGGAAAGCUCAAACAUUUUCAGGCCAUGAAGAUGCUCUGGAUGACUUUGGAAUCUACGAAUUCGUUGCUUUUCCAGAUGCUUCUGGUGUUCCCAGGGUUGGUUUGCCUAGUGGCUGAUUAGCCAAGAAGUACAAUUCUGCCUCCACAGAGGUGUAAGCAGCACUCAUUUAAGCACUCAGGCGGAGUGGUCAAAGGGCUGCCCACCCCUGGGCAGUACUCACUCCCUCUCUGAUGAACGGCUUGCCAGGUUUGGGGACUAAGCAUCUUUCUCAGCCUUUACAAACUAACACAAAUAAGGAAGUUAUACUAACUCACAGUCAUUCUUUACCUGGCAAGCUCAGUGAAGAGAAAGCUCGGUAGGCUGAAGGUCGAGAGAACUGAAUGAAUUGAGCUAAGGAGACUGGUUUAAUCAUUCAGUAUCACUUCAUGACUGCAGCCUGUCACUUCACUGCACUCUGUUCCUCUGUUUCCCCUCCAUUUCCUCCUCAGAUCUCUUGAGGACAUUGCAAAGACAACUGAUCAUAUCUUGAACGUACUUUAUGGUCUUCAGAAGAAAGGUACCAUAUAAACCCAAAGUAUGCAGGGUACACCUCUUUGUUUUCAUCCUAAAGGCACAAGAAAUGUGAGAGGGGGAGCUUUUAUACAGUUGAAGCCAUUUUUUCAGUCUGCAAAGACAAGCUCUCUUAAAACAAUCAGUCUUGCUUAACAGAAUGUUUCUCUGAGCUAAUCAGCUCAUUAACAUUUUUAUAGAUUUGUGCAGGACUAACCUUUCCUUUGCCUCCUUAUUCCCCUAUGAUUGUUCACUUAAGGAAGGGGCCAUAACAUACCACUUGCUUCUGUGCAUUUCGUUUCCUUUUUUAAAAAAGAAUUCUUUGUCAUUAGGUGUUGGUUGCUUUGUUAGUUCAGAGAAUUCUAUCCAUGUGUAAGAUUCGUGCAGUAAGUUUCCUGGCCACAUGAGAGUAAUGCCAUGUGAUUGGAUUUCAUCCUACUAAGGGUGAGUCUGUAGCACCAGGGCCCACAUGGCCACAGAUGGAGGGCAGGACUGCACUGCAAAGCUUUGUGAUGCCCUAUUCAGUCUCAGGAUUGUAACUCACCCUUCACUGACAUAACCAAAAAGGCAAAAAUAAAUAUUUCAAAAAGCUUCUCACUCUGGCAGAAAGCACCCAUCUCAGCCGUGGCUUUUGAACAGGACAGCAGGAAACAGAACAGCUGAUAAGACUUAGAAUUGAAUUUUUGAAGUCAGUCAGGAGUUUCUUGGUUUAAAAUAAUGCAGUUUUUAUUCCUAGGAAUUCAUUGGAUACAAGUAAGAUCAAUAUAAGAAACCUUAAAGUUAGCCUUGUGAUUAAUCAGUACUCAGUUUGAAAAUUUUAUUGGGAGGACUUGUAUUUGCUCAAAAUGCUACACUCAAGAACUGGGGGCAGAGAAAUGAGUGCUUUGAUUCCCUAUCAGAUGCAUGGCUUGUUCUGUCCUAAGUAGAAUAACUUCAUUUGGAGCCAUGCCCAUCUUCAAAGUGCUUAUGUGUGAUUAGCAGCCAAUUGCAAUGGCUUUGAGAAGAAAAGAAAUAUAAUAAUAAAACCAAGAUCUCAAAAGUGAAGCUAAGAAGGGAAGUAAGCUGAAUUCAUAACUUUUUGAGUUUUUUAAAAAUCAUAAUCACCUCUUAGCUUGUGUGGUCCAUGUAACAGAGGAAUGCUCCUCCUCUCUCUCCUUGCCCUACACCUCACUGCCCGUUGGCACCUCUUUCAGGAGUUGGACAGCAAGUAAUAGUGAACAAAUUUAUUACUUGGUUAACUGCUCUACUGUUAGGUGGGAGAAAUUGGUUAUGACCUGUAGAUUGCCCUUAUCAGAGCCCCUGAACACCUCCAUACCAAAGAAAAUCAAGAGUUAUCUCUCAAGUAUAAACUGUUAACCAAAAGCUCCUUGACACAAAAAUGAUAAGACAAAUCACAUAUCCUGGGGCUGCCCAUGGGAGCUUAGCAAGUGGAAUAAAAAUAGGCAGUUUCCAGAAAAGCGUAAAGCUAAGUAAGAUGUGCUCACAGAACCUAGCAGGUCAAAGCUGGAUGAAACAAGUAUCUCUGCAGACGAUUUAUCAAGGCAGUGUCCGCCAGGUGGCGCUGUAUAAACAUGAAGGACGGACAGUGAUCAGAAGUAUGAAAACAGAAAUAGUCUGGGUAAGAAGAGGAACCAACUUGGGCUAAAUUGUUGGAAGGCAGUGUUUAUAAAAAGAAGAAAAUUAUCAAAUAUAAAAAUGGGAAUUAAUAGAAUGUUGAGUGCCUAUUUCAAUAAAAUACAUGUUGGUUUUCACCAGACAGAAAUACAGUACUAUACUUCCUAUCAUCAUACAAGCCUAUAAUUUUUUGAACCCAUUACUGCAUUCAAACCAACACAUCUCCCUUGGUGUGUUCUGCCUGUACUUACUAGCAAUGUGAUGAGCAUUUUUAGCUGUACAUUAGUCUUUCCUCUCAGCCGUGCUGGCACACAUAAUUGGCAGAUAGUGUCCAAAGGUCAUCAAGAUGUAAUGUAGGGAUAACAUGUACUCUCUGAUUCUAAGCUCUCCUGGUGUCUUCCCUUUUGCUAUUUUUUCUUUUAUUAGAUUUCCUUCACAGUACCACCCAGCUUUUCUCUUAAAUGAAGAAAAAAAGCACUAGCUUUGUCAAGCUAUUGCUCUUCUGAUCUCAUAGCUAUGCUACCACAGGAGGCCAAGUAGGUCUGUUCCAGCUUGUGAUGGCGUAUCAGGACAAGAUUUGCACAGUACAAUUUAUGAAGUUAUUCAGCAUAUCCCUGCCCAACAGCAAGACCAUCCAGA